AUGGCUGACGCGGGUCAGAGUGUAUCUGUACCUAUCAGCAUAAUACCUUAUAUGGGUUGUAUUUGGACCCGAGAUAUUAAACUUAUUUUGGCAAGUUGGCGGAGUGCUUGAAGCCUGGUUCACCUCCGCCGCCGCGGAGUCGGCCCGGUAUUGCACUAUCUUCGAGAUUUUUGGUCUGCGGACGUCC